rnacentral:misc_RNA from 1 species
GUACUUCCAGGGUUUGAUGCAUCUGUAUAGACUAUUACCAUAUAAAGGCAUUCCUUGUAUGGAUCACAAGAGGAAAACAUGCACAUGUACACACACACACACACAUUAAAUUUGAUCUAGUACAGUUUGGGAAGAGAGGGAGAGAAUUUGUAGAGAGAACUUGCUAUUCAUUAGUCUUCAGUGCAUACAAUUACAAUCCAAGAACACAACUUAUAUUCUGUUUUGGCUUCGGUAACCAAUUAACAAAGAGUCUGUUUGGCAUUAUUAUUAGAACUGCUGUUGAGAAUUUUCUCAAAUAUAUUAGUUUUUGUGUAUUAAAAUUAAUUUUACAUGUUUUAGUCUACGCUAAAAUAACAAAACUUUUUUCUUUUUUUUUUU